rnacentral:rRNA from 1 species
AGCGAACGCUGGCGUCAGGCCUAACACAUGCAAGUCGAACGCCCCGCAAGGGGAGUGGCAGACGGGUGAGUAACGCGUGGGAACGUACCCUUCGGUUCGGAAUAACUCAGGGAAACUUGGGCUAAUACCGGAUACGUCCGUGAGGAGGAAGAUUUAUCGGUGAAGGAUCGGCCCGCGUCCUAUUAGGUAGUUGGUGAGGUAACGGCUCACCAAGCCGACGAUCAGUAGCUGGUCUGAGAGGAUGAUCGGCCACACUGGGACUGAGACACGGCCCAGACUCCUACGGGAGGCAGCAGUGGGGAAUAUUGGACAAUGGGCGAAAGCCUGAUCCAGCCAUGCCGCGUGAGUGAAGAAGGCCUUCGGGUUGUAAAGCUCUUUCGGCGGGGACGAUGAUGACGGUACCCGCAUAAGAAGCCCCGGCAAACUUCGUGCCAGCCGCCGCAGUAA